rnacentral:lncRNA from 1 species
GGUAUGUUGUCUGAUUGCACCAAAGGAUUUUUAUACAGCCAGAUCUCUUCUGGCUGGAUAACCCGCUGGAAUGGAUCCAAAAAUUCUGUAAAAACGAAGACCCCGAAGAGCAGCACCCGUAUGCCGAUCUCUAUCGCCAGCUCCCGCAUGGUGCGUCCCGGCGGACUCCGGCAGCCCCGCGCCGCCGCCGCCUCUCAUUCCCCGCUCGGGGCGGGGGGUGCACCCGGGGCGGCUCGGCCGCUUCACGCCGCCGUCCGGCAGCUCUCCCCCUCGGUCCGAGGGAGCGUGGCCGCCGCUCGGAGCCCCUCGAGGUGCGGUCCGCGUCCCUCCAUCCUCACGGCCGGGCUGCGCGGGCGGCGAGGAGCGGUGCUGCCGCCAGCUGACAGCGCC